GAUGAACGCUGGCGGCGUGCCUAAUACAUGCAAGUCGAGCGAACAGACGAGGAGCUUGCUCCUCUGACGUUAGCGGCGGACGGGUGAGUAACACGUGGAUAACCUACCUAUAAGACUGGGAUAACUUCGGGAAACCGGAGCUAAUACCGGAUAAUAUAUUGAACCGCAUGGUGCAAUAGUGAAAGACGGUUUUGCUGUCACUUAUAGAUGGAUCCGCGCCGCAUUAGGUAGUUGGUAAGGUAACGGCUUACCAAGGCAACGAUGCGUAGCCGACCUGAGAGGGUGAUCGGCCACACUGGAACUGAGACACGGUCGAGACUCCUACAGGAGGCAGCAGUAGGGAAUCUUACGCAAUGGGCGAAAGGCUGACGGAGCAACGCCGCGUGAGUGAUGAAGGUGUUCGGAUCGUAAAACUCUGUUAUUAGGGAAGAACAAAUGUGUAAGUAACUAUGCACGUCUUGACGGUACCUAAUCAGAAAGCCACGGCUAACUACGUG
rnacentral:rRNA from 1 species